CUCACUAUCGAUUCAACACAUCUUUUAAUUACUUUUUAAAAAAUCAGUUAUAGCAACUAGAUUAAAAUAAAUAGAAGGUUGAGGCAAUGAACCUGUUGAAGCCGAUUUUGUCACAAUCAUAGUAGAAAAAUAAAUGUAUACAAAAUUUGCCUCCAGAAUCCAAACGAAAGUGAAACGGCCAUGAAAACAAGCACGGACAGCAAUUGAACAGGACCACGUACUGCACCUUGCACUGGUGGCUAGAACCUCGACUCGAACUCUUCUUCAAUUGAUUUGUGUGUGUGUGUGAGAAGAAGAGUUGUUGUCCUUAGUGAGGAUGACCGCUGGUUUUUCAGAAGAAGAAGAUUAACGAUGGGGUUAGGGGUCGUUUUCUUUCUGCAACAACUGUGUUUGCUUUAUUUUUUUGUUGUUGGGUGUUGCGGGGUUUUUCGGCGGGUUUGGUGGUGACUGGCGGGGCUGGGAGGGGUGUGAGUGAAGAGGGUUAUGGGGUCUGUUGGUGUUUGUUGUCAAUGAAGUGAUAGGGCGUCAUUUGGAGUAGAUGACACGGGGGAGGGGGGUUCUCCUAGUAUUGCGGCGGAUUUGUUGGAGAGGAAGGGAUCUCAUCUGUG
rnacentral:lncRNA from 1 species